CAUCAUGUAUUUCUUAUUUGUUUAUUUUACAGAGCAACACAUUGUAGAAGGGGAUAUAAGUGCUGAAAAUCUGAAGGAACAAGCUACAAAAUUGGGUGAGUCCUCCCUCCCAAAUUAGAAAAAAAAGACAUUCAGGCUAUGUGAGGUGUGGGACGAGAUAUUCCUGUCACCAUGUAUUGCUUUUCUCUUUGUUUUCCAGUGGAACAAACUAAAGAAUCAGGUGAGUCUUCUUCCCUGAAUGAAAGGACUAUGGGGUUUCCCAUGCAAUGACAAGCUGUCCCACCUCAUCAAGUGUUGCAUUUCCUUUUCAGUAGUAGAAUCUGAAGAAUCAGAGAUUCAGAAUUCACUGCUGAAGGAACACUGCGAACGGAUGGAAUUAAGUCUUGCAGAUCUGAGUAAGUCUUCCUCCCUACACAGAAGGAAUCUGGGGUCUUCCCAUGGCAUUAGCCAUACGAUGAUCAUCUCACCCUUCCCAUUAUGUAUUUCUUAACUGUUUCUUUUGCAGAGAAACUAGCUGCAAGACUGGGUGAGUGCUCCCUCCCAAAUUAACAAAAUAAAAGGCAGUCUUCCUGUGUGAGCUGUGGGGAUGAGAUGUUCCUCUCAUCAUGUGUUGCUUUUCUCUUUCAUUUCCAGAGGAAGAAGCUGAAUAAGUGGAAAAACCAUCUGAAGACUUGGAUUGAGAGAUGAACUGCGCCUCACAGUAACCACAGGAGUUAAGCUUCAUAGAUCAAUGACUGCACAGCAUACAGAAACCACGAUACCUCAAACAGAGCAAGGAAAUCCACAGCGAGAACAAGAGGAGCCAGUGUUUGUGUUGAGUGAGAACACUGCAGUUCUGUCAGAUAAGGCUGCCUGAGGGACCACCAAACUGAGGGUGUGUGACCUCCAACUCAAAUCCAAUUGGAAGAAACUAUAGAAAGGAAGACUACAAGAGGAAGACAGAGAUCCUGGAAAAGGGAUAGACGUUUUGGGAAUUAACAUGGCCAUGUAUCAGGGUUUGAGGAAUUCUAAUGUAUAUAUAAGGCUUUUGGAAAUAUAAACAUGCACACAGAAGCAAAGGAAAAAAACUGCUUUGGGUGUUAAUACUGUUCUCUGUCCCUAUAUAAUAAAGAAUACCUGCAGAUGGUAAUGGAUCAUUGAUUGUGAUCAGUUAUUGGGGUUUGGUUCCAUG
rnacentral:lncRNA from 1 species